rnacentral:rRNA from 1 species
GGGUUGUGAGGUUAAGCGACUAAGCGUACACGGUGGAUGCCCUGGCAGUCAGAGGCGAUGAAGGACGUGCUAAUCUGCGAAAAGCGUCGGUAAGGUGAUAUGAACCGUUAUAGCCGGCGAUGUCCGAAUGGGGAAACCCAGUGCAAUUCGUUGCACUAUCGUUAACUGAAUACAUAGGUUAACGAGGCGAACCGGGGGAACUGAAACAUCUAAGUACCCCGAGGAAAAGAAAUCAACCGAGAUUCCCCCAGUAGCGGCGAGCGAACGGGGAGCAGCCCAGAGUCUGAAUCAGCUUGUGUGUUAGUGGAACGGUCUGGAAAGUCCGACGGUACAGGGUGAUAGUCCCGUACACCAAAAUGCACAGGCUGUGAACUCGAAGAGUAGGGCGGGACACGUGGUAUCCUGUCUGAAUAUGGGGGGACCAUCCUCCAAGGCUAAAUACUCCUGACUGACCGAUAGUGAACCAGUACCGUGAGGGAAAGGCGAAAAGAACCCCGGCGAGGGGAGUGAAAAAGAACCUGAAACCGUGUACGUACAAGCAGUGGGAGCACCUUCGGGUGUGACUGCGUACCUUUUGUAUAAUGGGUCAGCGACUUAUAUUCUGUAGCAAGGUUAACCGUAUAGGGGAGCCGCAGGAAACCGAGUCUUAACUGGGCGUUAAGUUGCAGGGUAUAGACCCGAAACCCGGUGAUUCAGCCAUGGGCAGGUUGAAGGUUGGGUAACACUAACUGGAGGACCGAACCGACUAAUGUUGAAAAAUUAGCGGAUGACUUGUGGCUGGGGUGAAAGGCCAAUCAAACCGGGAGAUAGCUGGUUCUCCCCGAAAGCUAUUUAGGUAGCGCCUCGUGAAUUCAUCUUCGGGGUAGAGCACUGUUUCGGCUAGGGGUCAUCCCGACUUACCAACCCGAUGCAAACUACGAAUACCGAAGAAUGUUAUCACGGGAGACACACGGCGGGUGCUAACGUCCGUCGUGAAGAGGGAAACAACCCAGACCGCCAGCUAAGGUCCCAAAGUCAUGGUUAAGUGGGAAACGAUGUGGGAAGGCACAGACAGCGGGAUGUUGGCUUAGAAGCAGCCAUCAUUUAAAGAAAGCGUAAUAGCUCACUGGUCGAGUCGGCCUGCGCGGAAGAUGUAACGGGGCUAAACCAUGCACCGAAGCUGCGGCAGCGACACGAUGUGUUGUUGGGUAGGGGAGCGUUCUGUAAGCCUGCGAAGGUGACCUGUGAGGGUUGCUGGAGGUAUCAGAAGUGCGAAUGCUGACAUAAGUAACGAUAAAGCGGGUGAAAAGCCCGCUCGCCGGAAGACCAAGGGUUCCUGUCCAACGUUAAUCGGGGCAGGGUGAGUCGACCCCUAGGCGAGGCCGAAAGGCGUAGUCGAUGGGAAACAGGUUAAUAUUCCUGUACUUGGUGUUACUGCGAAGGGGGACGGAGAAGGCUAUGUUAGCCGGGCGACGGUUGUCCCGGUUUAAGCAUGUAGGCUGGUUAUCCGUGCAAAUCCGGAUAAUCAAGGCUGAGGUGUGAUGACGAGGCACUACGGUGCUGAAGUAACAAAUGCCCUGCUUCCAGGAAAAGCCUCUAAGCAUCAGGUAACAUCAAAUCGUACCCCAAACCGACACAGGUGGUCAGGUAGAGAAUACCAAGGCGCUUGAGAGAACUCGGGUGAAGGAACUAGGCAAAAUGGUGCCGUAACUUCGGGAGAAGGCACGCUGGUGUGUAGGUGAAGCCCCUGCGGGUGGAGCUGAGACCAGUCGAAGAUACCAGCUGGCUGCAACUGUUUAUUAAAAACACAGCACUGUGCAAACACGAAAGUGGACGUAUACGGUGUGACGCCUGCCCGGUGCCGGAAGGUUAAUUGAUGGGGUUAUCCGUAAGGAGAAGCUCUUGAUCGAAGCCCCGGUAAACGGCGGCCGUAACUAUAACGGUCCUAAGGUAGCGAAAUUCCUUGUCGGGUAAGUUCCGACCUGCACGAAUGGCGUAAUGAUGGCCAGGCUGUCUCCACCCGAGACUCAGUGAAAUUGAACUCGCUGUGAAGAUGCAGUGUACCCGCGGCAAGACGGAAAGACCCCGUGAACCUUUACUAUAGCUUGACACUGAACAUUGAGCCUUGAUGUGUAGGAUAGGUGGGAGGCUUUGAAGCGUGGACGCCAGUCUGCGUGGAGCCAACCUUGAAAUACCACCCUUUAAUGUUUGAUGUUCUAACGUUGGCCCCUUAUCGGGGUUGCGGACAGUGUCUGGUGGGUAGUUUGACUGGGGCGGUCUCCUCCCAAAGCGUAACGGAGGAGCACGAAGGUUAGCUAAUCCUGGUCGGACAUCAGGAGGUUAGUGCAAUGGCAUAAGCUAGCUUGACUGCGAGCGUGACGGCGCGAGCAGGUGCGAAAGCAGGUCAUAGUGAUCCGGUGGUUCUGAAUGGAAGGGCCAUCGCUCAACGGAUAAAAGGUACUCCGGGGAUAACAGGCUGAUACCGCCCAAGAGUUCAUAUCGACGGCGGUGUUUGGCACCUCGAUGUCGGCUCAUCACAUCCUGGGGCUGAAGUAGGUCCCAAGGGUAUGGCUGUUCGCCAUUUAAAGUGGUACGCGAGCUGGGUUUAGAACGUCGUGAGACAGUUCGGUCCCCUAUCUGCCGUGGGCGCUGGAGAAUUGAGGGGCUGCUCCUAGUACGAGAGGACCGGAGUGGACGCAUCACUGGUGUUCGGGUUGUCAUGCCAAUGGCACUGCCCGGUAGCUAAAUGCGGAAGAGAUAAGUGCUGAAAGCAUCUAAGCACGAAACUUGCCCCGAGAUGAGUUCUCCCUGAGACUUUAAGUCUCCUGAAGGAACGUUAAAGACGAUGACGUUGAUAGGCCGGGUGUGUAAGCGCAGCGAUGCGUUGAGCUAACCGGUACUAAUGAACCGUGAGGCUUAACCUUACAACGCCGAAG